rnacentral:rRNA from 1 species
UACGUAGGGUGCGAGCGUUGUCCGGAAUUAUUGGGCGUAAAGAGCUCGUAGGCGGUGUGUCACGUCGGCCGUGAAAACCUGCAGCUUAACUGUGGGCGUGCGGUCGAUACGGGCAUCACUGGAGUUCGGCAGGGGAGACUGGAAUUCCUGGUGUAGCGGUGAAAUGCGCAGAUAUCAGGAGGAACACCAAUAGCGAAGGCAGCUCGCUGGGACGUUACUGACGCUGAGGCGCGAAAGCGUGGGGAGCGAACAGG